GCUGGGAUUAGUGCAGUCUAUUUUUAAAUUAACUGGUGUUUCAGAGCUUGAAGAGAAGGUUGAAGAGACUAAAUCAAAUCCCACUGGUAGCGGUACAACAGCAGUACCAGUAGUGGAGUUUGCUAACUCACAGAACUCACCCAAUCCUCCUGUGACUGGGGUAGAGGUCAUCCCACGACUCACUCCAGGGACAAGAGUUCAACGUGGACCGGAUUGGAAGUGGGGGGAUCAGAAUGGUCCUCCUCCGGGUGAGGGUACAG